UACGGGGGGGGCAAGCGUUGUUCGGAAUUACUGGGCGUAAAGGGCGCGUAGGCGGUCCGAUAAGUCCUGUGUGAAAUCCCUCGGCUCAACUGAGGAACUGCACGGGAGACUGUCGGGCUUGAGUUCGGGAGAGGGAAGCGGAAUUCCGGGUGUAGCGGUGAAAUGCGUAGAUAUCCGGAGGAACACCGGUGGCGAAGGCGGCUUCCUGGACCGACACUGACGCUGAGGCGCGAAAGCUAGGGGAGCAAACGGG
rnacentral:rRNA from 1 species